AGUGCUCGAAGUGAAAUGUUUAUGCGGUUGUCGGUUGGAAUCUUAUUGCAGUUUGACGAGGAGUUUCGCUUUAUUUAAACGACCUUGAUCCCUCAGCAUUAUUCUGAUGGCAGAAUGUGAAGUGGUGGUGGAUGAUUUUGUGAGGACAGGAAGAACUGGUCGGCGGAAUGCUCUUCCUGAUGUGUUUGCUGUUGGACAUGCGAAUGUGACAACUGCGGGACUUCCUGAAGGGCUGGAAAAUUUUUCCAUUGGUUCUUCAACUCAGCCAGCAUGCAAUGGUACUUCAAGUUCAGAGAACCAGCCACAAAUGGAGAAAUGAAAGUGGAUGUUGCUGUAGCAUACCUUUGAAUUAUUUGAUUCCUAUUUGACUUGUCAUUCUCAAAUGGCAUCAUGACCUGGUCUGGUUCAUGAGUAACAGUUUUCAUUGGCAUUUGGAAGUGGCAGUUUUUUUUUACCCUCAGUGGUUUGAUCUCUGAUAUUAAGGGGACAUUGCACUGUGAUGGUGGUACCUACAAGUUCUCAAAAGAAAGAGUGGACCAACUACCUUGUGACAAAUUUUAUUGUGGCUUGGGUGGUAUUAUUGCAGAUUCUGAUGAGAAGAGAUGACAGAUUGUGCUUCAAACUGAUUAUCUACCUGAAAGUUUGAGGAGUAGCCACUAAGAAAUGCCUAGUAUGUUGUGAUUUUUCUACUAGAUGAAUUGCAUUUUGUUAUUUAAAUCCCUUACUAAUUUAAGGACUUCGAUUCAAAUGUUAAAGUCACAUUAUUCUCUGUGAUUUUUUUCCCUUGUAUUGUACAAUAUAGCCAUUUCAUGUAGCAGAGAAUGUAGUGAUAAACCCAUAAUACUGUAAAAAUUUUAGAUUGUUUUUUUAAAAAACAGAAGCACUGACAGUUGAAAUUUGUAAUUUAUAAAUAUGCUCCGGACAUUAGUUUAGAUCUGUCUAGAAAGAAGAAUUAUUCAAAAGGCCAUGUCCUAAAGACUUAAAUCCUCUUUAGGACUAGUCAACUGCAUAAUGGUUUAUUCAAGGUCUAAUAUCACUAUGUGGGAGUAGCCCAAUGAAGAAAUCUUGUCUUUUUUGGCUGAGAUGUCAGUUAUUCUGCUGGAGAAUGUUUUAGAUUAAGACUCCAAUGUUACUAGGAUUAAAUCUGAAGUAUGGUAGGGUGUCAUGUAUAGUGUGAAUUGAAACAAGGCUGAAAUGUCUCUUUGAUGAGUGGGCUUACAAGAAGCUGUUAUGCAACGUAAUUUAUGUCAUACAACAAAGGUACCAUUCUCAGCUUAGAACAAAAAAAUUAAUGUUUUCUAAGAAAAAUUGAAUAAUGCAAAUACCUAAUUUAUUCUCAGCUUUUAUGAUUUGUGUGCAUGUGCCUUAAAAAUUAAUGAACAUUUGAUUAAAAGUUAGUGUCAAUUAUUGAU